GGAGGGAUCGCAUAGAGGUCUAGUGCGGCCGCCUGCUAAGCGGUUACCCCGGGAAACCGGGGUCGCGGGUUCGAAUCCCGCUCCCUCCGCCA
rnacentral:tRNA from 1 species